rnacentral:snRNA from 1 species
ACUAACAAGGAUUCCCUUA